rnacentral:rRNA from 1 species
UACGAAGGGGGCGAGCGUUGUUCGGAGUUACUGGGCGUAAAGGGCGCGUAGGCGGCGCUCCAAGUUAGGCGUGAAAGCCCCGGGCUCAACCUGGGAAUAGCGCUUAAGACUGGAGUGCUCGAGUGCGGGAGAGGUGAGUGGAAUUCCCAGUGUAGAGGUGAAAUUCGUAGAUAUUGGGAAGAACACCAGUGGCGAAGGCGGCCAUCUAUGCCAAUACUGACGCUAAGGUACGAAAGCGUGGGGAGCAAACAGGAUUAGAAACCCUGUAGU